CAGUAGCCACGGGAAUACGUAGGGUGCAAGCGUUAAUCGGAAUUACUGGGCGUAAAGCGUGCGCAGGCGGUUUGUUAAGACAGAUGUGAAAUCCCCGGGCUCAACCUGGGAACUGCAUUUGUGACUGGCAAGCUAGAGUAUGGCAGAGGGGGGUGGAAUUCCGCGUGUAGCAGUGAAAUGCGUAGAUAUGCGGAGGAACACCGAUGGCGAAGGCAGCCCCCUGGGCCAAUACUGACGCUCAUGCACGAAAGCGUGGGGAGCAAACAGGAUUAGAUACCCCUGUAUCCCUGUCUCUUAUACA
rnacentral:rRNA from 1 species